AGGAGCCAAGGGCAUCAGAGCCAAACCCGGACCCCGUUAGAUCGUCAAACCCCUCCUAUUACCCGAGACGGGUGUUUGACCUCUGAGGAGUGCUUUCAACACAGAAGCCAUUAAAGAUCACAGACAGUAAGAGACACGGGCCCAUGUAAUGACAGGCCAGCAGAUGAAGAGUGGAUGGGCUCGGUCACGAACUUGCUGGGUGACCCUGGGUUUUCCACUUUUAACAACUCAUGGGAUUAGACCAGCCCCCACUGGAUAAUCAGGAUAGUUGCCUCAUCUCCAGAUGCAUAACUCCGAUCAUAUCUGCCACCUAAGUGGCAUAACUUGCCUCAUCUCCAGAUGCAUAACUCCGAUCCCUUUUGCCACCUAAGGAACGGAGAAGAAGGGGGUGGAGAAAUGGCUACAGAGAAUUAGUUACCACCACUGACACAGGAAAACCUGUUGGCAAAGCUGCAUGACCAAACGCAAUCAAACCCGGGUUUGCCCUUCAAGAGCCACCUCUUCGGUCAAGUGUUUACUGAGCCCCCACGAUAGACAAAAUUAUUCCUGCUGUUAUGUUUCUUCUGCAUUCUACAAUAUUAUCAGUUUAAUUGUCACAGAUGGUUGUUCUUUAGGGAGGGGCUAUCUGUUUUAUUCUUUUAUACCCAGCUGUGCUCAGCACAAUUCUUGGUAACCAUACUGGGUGUUCAGAAUGUUUGCUAAACUGUUCUGCUGAAGACCGGUACUCAGGAAGUACGUGCAUUACUGGUGUACAGAGAGGAUACUGAUAUGGUCUGGCUUUUCAAAUGUCAGCAUUUGCAAAGGGAAUGUUUGCGCCGAGAACGCAAUACCAGGGUGCUUUGCCCCUACAAACUUCUAUCCCAACCGAGCUCCUGGCCAAACUCAUCUGCAGCACAAAUAGACAUCACCAGCCAAGCCACACGAACGCUCCAAGGAAACAAUGAUGAACUCACAGGGGAAAAUUCUAACAUCUCUAUUAUAUGCUUGCACUUAUUACAGACCUGGAAGAGAAACAACAAAUGAAGCAACCUGUGAUAUAUAAUAAAUAUAUAUUUGAUCUGUGUCCCAGUUUCUGGCCUGCAGCUCCCCAAACCCCUGGAAUCUCCAAAGCCUACGAGCAAUGGGAGCAUCUUUUGUUAUAUUUGGUCUUUGUCCUCACUUCCUGAACUAGAUUCAGUGUGAUCUAAGUGAAAUGGGCACCUUCUGUUAUUCAUAACAACCCACACAUCUGGUGUUGGAAGCGAAGUUGUGAUGUGGUGAUGUGAGAGUAAAAGAAACACAGAAAUGAGUUUCUUCUUUGGAAGACCUAUACCACGGGAAAGAGAAUUUUAAAAUUUAGUAAG